UGGGGAAUUUUGGACAAUGGGCGAAAGCCUGAUGCAGCCAUGCCGCGUGUGUGAAGAAGGCCUUCGGGUUGUAAAGCACUUUCAGCGAGGAGGAAGGUGGUGAGCUUAAUACGCUCAUCAAUUGACGUUACUCGCAGAAGAAGCACCGGCUAACUCCGUGCCAGCAGCCGCGGUAAUACGGAGGGUGCAAGCGUUAAUCGGAAUUACUGGGCGUAAAGCGCACGCAGGCGGUUUGUUAAGUCAGAUGUGAAAUCCCCGGGCUCAACCUGGGAACUGCAUUUGAAACUGGCAAGCUAGAGUCUCGUAGAGGGGGGUAGAAUUCCAGGUGUAGCGGUGAAAUGCGUAGAGAUCUGGAGGAAUACCGGUGGCGAAGGCGGCCCCCUGGACGAAGACUGACGCUCAGGUGCGAAAGCGUGGGGCAGCAAACAGGAUUAGAUACCCUGGUAGUCCACGCUGUAAACGAUGUCGAUUUUGGAGGUUGUGCCCUUGAGGCGUGGCUUCCGGAGCUAACGCGUUAAAUCGACCGCCUGGGGAGUACGGCCGCAAGGUUAAAACUCAAAGGAAUUGACGGGGUC
rnacentral:rRNA from 1 species